rnacentral:rRNA from 1 species
GCAAGAUUAAAACUCAAAGGAAUAGACGGGGACCCGCACAAGUGGUGGAGCAUGUGGUUUAAUUCGAAGAUACGCGAAGAACCUUACCUAGCCUUGACAUAUAUUAGAACUCCGCAGAGAUGCAGAGGUGCCUUCGGGAGCUUUUAUACAGGUGCUGCACGGCUGUCGUCAGCUCGUGUCGUGAGAUGUUGGGUUAAGUCCCGCAACGAGCGCAACCCUCGUCACUAGUUACUAACGGUUCGGCCGAGGACUCUAGUGAGACUGCCUUCGUAAGGAGGAGGAAGGUGAGGACGACGUCAAGUCAUCAUGGCCCUUACGGCUAGGGCAACACACGUGCUACAAUGGUUGGGACAAUGAGACGCAAUACCGCGAGGUGGAGCAAAUCUAUAAACCCAAUCUCAGUUCGGAUUGUUCUCUGCAACUCGAGAACAUGAAGCUGGAAUCACUAGUAAUCGUAGAUCAGCUAUGCUACGGUGAAUACGUUCCCGGGUCUUGUACUCACCGCCCGUCACACCAUGGGAGUUGAUUUCACCCGAAGCGGGGAAGCUAAACUGGCUACCCUCCACGGUGGAAUUAGCGACUGGGGUGAAGUCGUAACAAGGUA